GACGCUGCUCUUCCCUUACUCCCUCCUCGCCUCACUUUUCUCUGCACCAAGCAGCUCGAUUUAGGGCUUCACCAUUUCUCUUCGAAUCAAGUUUCCAGGAUCUACAAUUGCAAAUCCUUUGAUGGAUAAAACACAGAGGACCAGCUACGCUUAUAGAGCUUCUUUAGCAUCACCAUAAUUUUUAAGCAACAAAAUUAAGCUGGAAAUUAAAUUGAGAUUAAGAUUUUUAAGCGAGAAAAUCAAGUUGGAAAUUCAAUUGAAAUUGUAAUGAAUUUGCAAAUUUGUCAAGUAUAUCUUACAUUCGUGGUUCCAUAUUCACUUUACCCAUAACUAUUGAAUUUUGUCUCUUGACUGGAUGGAUUUUUAUAGUUUCCAGGAUCUACAAUUGCAAAUCCUUUGAUGGAUAAAACACAGAGGACCAGCUACGCUUAUAGAGCUUCUUUAGCAUCAGUAAAAAGGUCAUACCCAGUGCACAAGGCUCCCGCUUUACGCAGGGUCUGGGAGAGGUGAAUGUUGGCUAGCCUUACCCCCAUUUAUGGAGAGGCUGCUC
rnacentral:sRNA from 1 species